rnacentral:rRNA from 1 species
UGGGGAAUAUUGGACAAUGGGCACAAGCCUGAUCCAGCCAUGCCGCGUGGGUGAAGAAGGCCCUCGGGUUGUAAAGCCCUUUUGUUGGGGAAGAAAUCGUGCAGGUGAAUAUCCUGCGCGGAUGACGGUACCCAAAGAAUAAGCACCGGCUAACUUCGUGCCAGCAGCCGCGGUAAUACGAAGGGUGCAAGCGUUACUCGGAAUUACUGGGCGUAAAGCGUGCGUAGGCGGUUCGUUAAGUCCGUUGUGAAAGCCCUGGGCUCAACCUGGGAAUUGCUCUUAAUACUGGCAGGCUUGAGUUCCGGAGAGGAUGGUGGAAUUCCCAGUGUAGAGGUGAAAUUCGUAGAUAUUGGGAAGAACACCGGUGGCGAAGGCGGCCAUCUGGACGGACACUGACGCUGAGGCGCGAAAGCGUGGGGAGCAAACA